UGGGGAAUUUUGGACAAUGGGCGCAAGCCUGAUCCAGCCAUGCCGCGUGAGUGAAGAAGGCCUUCGGGUUGUAAAGCUCUUUCGGUGGGGAAGAAAUUGCACUCUCUAAUACAGGGUGUAGAUGACGGUACCCGCAUAAGAAGCACCGGCUAACUACGUGCCAGCAGCCGCGGUAAUACGUAGGGUGCGAGCGUUAAUCGGAAUUACUGGGCGUAAAGCGUGCGCAGGCGGUUGUAUAAGUCAGAGGUGAAAUCCCCGGGCUCAACCUGGGAACUGCAUUUGAGACUGUACGGCUAGAGUGUGGCAGAGGGGGGUGGAAUUCCACGUGUAGCAGUGAAAUGCGUAGAGAUGUGGAGGAACACCGAUGGCGAAGGCAGCCCCCUGGGCCAAUACUGACGCUCAUGCACGAAAGCGUGGGGAGCAAACA
rnacentral:rRNA from 1 species